rnacentral:rRNA from 2 species
GAUGAACGCUGGCGGCGUGCCUAAUACAUGCAAGUCGAACGAGUUCUCGUUGAUGAUCGGUGCUUGCACCGAGAUUCAACAUAGAACGAGUGGCGGACGGGUGAGUAACACGUGGGUAACCUGCCCUUAAGUGGGGGAUAACAUUUGGAAACAGAUGCUAAUACCGCAUAGAUCCAAGAACCGCAUGGUUCUUGGCUGAAAGAUGGCGUAAGCUAUCGCUUUUGGAUGGACCCGCGGCGUAUUAGCUAGUUGGUGAGGUAAUGGCUCACCAAGGCGAUGAUACGUAGCCGAACUGAGAGGUUGAUCGGCCACAUUGGGACUGAGACACGGCCCAAACUCCUACGGGAGGCAGCAGUAGGGAAUCUUCCACAAUGGACGCAAGUCUGAUGGAGCAACGCCGCGUGAGUGAAGAAGGCUUUCGGGUCGUAAAACUCUGUUGUUGGAGAAGAAUGGUCGGCAGAGUAACUGUUGUCGGCGUGACGGUAUCCAACCAGAAAGCCACGGCUAACUACGUGCCAGCAGCCGCGGUAAUACGUAGGUGGCAAGCGUUAUCCGGAUUUAUUGGGCGUAAAGCGAGCGCAGGCGGUUUUUUAAGUCUGAUGUGAAAGCCCUCGGCUUAACCGAGGAAGCGCAUCGGAAACUGGGAAACUUGAGUGCAGAAGAGGACAGUGGAACUCCAUGUGUAGCGGUGAAAUGCGUAGAUAUAUGGAAGAACACCAGUGGCGAAGGCGGCUGUCUGGUCUGUAACUGACGCUGAGGCUCGAAAGCAUGGGUAGCGAACAGGAUUAGAUACCCUGGUAGUCCAUGCCGUAAACGAUGAAUGCUAGGUGUUGGAGGGUUUCCGCCCUUCAGUGCCGCAGCUAACGCAUUAAGCAUUCCGCCUGGGGAGUACGACCGCAAGGUUGAAACUCAAAGGAAUUGACGGGGGCCCGCACAAGCGGUGGAGCAUGUGGUUUAAUUCGAAGCAACGCGAAGAACCUUACCAGGUCUUGACAUCUUUUGAUCACCUGAGAGAUCAGGUUUCCCCUUCGGGGGCAAAAUGACAGGUGGUGCAUGGUUGUCGUCAGCUCGUGUCGUGAGAUGUUGGGUUAAGUCCCGCAACGAGCGCAACCCUUAUGACUAGUUGCCAGCAUUUAGUUGGGCACUCUAGUAAGACUGCCGGUGACAAACCGGAGGAAGGUGGGGAUGACGUCAAAUCAUCAUGCCCCUUAUGACCUGGGCUACACACGUGCUACAAUGGAUGGUACAACGAGUUGCGAGACCGCGAGGUCAAGCUAAUCUCUUAAAGCCAUUCUCAGUUCGGACUGUAGGCUGCAACUCGCCUACACGAAGUCGGAAUCGCUAGUAAUCGCGGAUCAGCACGCCGCGGUGAAUACGUUCCCGGGCCUUGUACACACCGCCCGUCACACCAUGAGAGUUUGUAACACCCGAAGCCGGUGGCGUAACCCUUUUAGGGAGCGAGCCGUCUAAGGUGGGACAAAUGAUUAGGGUG